GUGAGUUCUUGUGGGAUCUGAUGGUUUUAUAACCUUUGCUCUGCACUUCUCUUUGCUGCUGCCAUGUGAAGAAGGACAUUUUUGUUUCCUCCUCCUCCAUGAUCCUUGUAUGAGAAAGAAGAACUGGUGAUGCAGAAAGUCAAAUACCGCCAGCUUAGCGGGUCAGCAUCCUCUCCUCCCACAUAAGCAGAGAUCGGAGCAUGAGAUAAAAUACCUGGAUGCCCUUUGCUCCAGCCUCGUGCUCCCACAACUUUGCUUCUGACAGAGUACUUAUCUCUCUGACCACUGGGAAACUGCUAAAAGAGAGAAACUUGAAAAGGAUUGGACUUUUCUGUGCAAAUCUCUUUGAAAAUUGCCACCUCCCAGGUUAGCUUUUAAGAGAAGCCCAAUAUAUUAGGAACCUGAAAAUAAAGGAAAGUUUGCACAUUGAAACAUCACUUGCUAAUAGUUCUAUUAUUGGAAACGGAAAUAUGGAAUUCUAGAAAAAGAAAUGUCAUUAUGGGGUUAGGAAUUAACCACUUGCUACUUAUGUUAAUGUGACGUGGUUUAAAAAAGCUGCAGGAAGUUCCUGAAAUUAUUGAAACAAAAAUAAAGUAUUUUCCCCUGGAA
rnacentral:lncRNA from 10 species